rnacentral:ncRNA from 1 species
GUUCUGGGCCGCACGCGCGCUACACUGAUGUAUUCAACGAGUAUAUAGCCUUGGCCGACAGGCCCGGGUAAUCUUGGGAAAUUUCAUCGUGAUGGGGAUAGAUCAUUGCAAUUGUUGGUCUUGGACGAGGAAUGCCUAGUAAGCGCGAGUCAUCAGCUCGCGUUGACUACGUCCCUGCCCUUUGUACACACCGCCCGUCGCUCCUACCGAUUGAAUGGUCCGGUGAAGUGUUCGGAUCGCGGCGACGGGGGCGG